rnacentral:rRNA from 1 species
AACGAACGCUGGCGGCAGGCUUAACACAUGCAAGUCGAGCGCCCCGCAAGGGGAGCGGCAGACGGGUGAGUAACGCGUGGGAAUCUACCGUGCCCUGCGGAAUAGCUCCGGGAAACUGGAAUUAAUACCGCAUACGCCCUACGGGGGAAAGAUUUAUCGGGGUAUGAUGAGCCCGCGUUGGAUUAGCUAGUUGGUGGGGUAAAGGCCUACCAAGGCGACGAUCCAUAGCUGGUCUGAGAGGAUGAUCAGCCACACUGGGACUGAGACACGGCCCAGACUCCCACGGGAGGCAGCAGUGGGGAAUAUUGGACAAUGGGCGCAAGCCUGAUCCAGCCAUGCCGCGUGAGUGAUGAAGGCCCUAGGGUUGUAAAGCUCUUUCAACGGUGAAGAUAAUGACGGUAACCGUAGAAGAAGCCCCGGCUAACUUCGUGCCAGCCGCCGCCGUAACAC